AAGGCUGUGAAGAGACUUGCAAUCCAAGAUUUAAAGUUGCUGGCCAACAAGACACCACAUACGUGGAGCAGAGAAAACAUUCAGGCACUCUGAAUCUGCUCUUCACACUCCUUAUGACAGCUUGAAGCUGGGCAUGCUGUCUAUUCUUUCCGUGUUAUCGGGGACCAUUGCCAUAAACAGUACUUCAGCACUGCUCCAGGUCUUUGCCGUUUCCAGUCCCAGGAGCUCUGCAGGAAGGGCCAACUCAUGCGAAUUGCAGAGCAACCAUCUUUCCCUCCUGCAUCCAGCCGGAGAGCAUAGCCUGUCAGCACUGACCGUGCUUUGCAAGGCUGGGAAAAACACCCCGAUGUGGAAGAGAGCAUCCACUCCGCUGAUGUCCGCAGGAGCAGCGUCUUCCCUUCUUGCUGCCAGCCCCGCUUCCCUCCCCGCGAUUUCCAGGUCAAAGACACAGCGAAGAGCCCGAGUCGGAGACAGCCAAAAAGUUCGGUAGAGGAAGCUCUGGCUCAGCGUCUUCACUGUUCGCACUGUUUGCGCUGCCUCGCCUCCGCUUUAACCCGCUCAGGCACUGCCGGCCGGGACAGCCCGCAGCCUCCACCGCAGAGGCGGGCAGGAGCAGCACGGCUGGGCCGGCAGCACUGUCCUGGCACUUACACGGAGGGAAGGGAGGAGAAGAAAAGUGAGAGGAAAAGGAGCAGAGGGAAAAUGCGAGUACGAAGAAGCCGCAGACAGCAAGGGAGAGGCAGGCGCGGGCUGCACUGGCACCCAGCGACGGCGGCCGGGACCGCUCCGGGAAGCGGCGGCGCUGGCUCCGGACCGGGCACCGCGACGGGAAGGGGAGUGGAGGAAUCUCUCCUGAGGACUGGGCUUCCCAAAGCCCCUGCUCCUAAACUGGAGGAGCUGGGAGUUUCUAAUAACCUACAUUUUGGGGCGGGGAGAAAGGAAAGGGAAAAAGAAAAAGGGAAAAAGGAAAAAAAUCCAAACCUCGACCUUUUCCCAUGUAGUCCUCAAGGGUGCUUGUCCAAGCCACGAAAAUGGGAAGUGCCUGGGGGAAGGUCGCAUGCAUUUCACUCUUUGUAUGGCACCAGACUGUGUUACUUUCCAGUGCAGCUGAAGGAGAAAUGAAGCCUUACUGGUGAGAACUGAAC